ensembl:lncRNA
CCUUAACUGCAAUUGCCAAUAGAAGAGUUUUGAGCAUGCUGAAUAAGAAACGUCAUUGACCACUGGAAACAUAAGGGGAUCUUCCUGACCCAGAGAUCAAACUUGCGUGCCCUCCGUCUCCUGCCUUGCCAGUCGUAUUCUUACCACUGCACUGCACCACCGGGAAGUUUGGGGAAGUCACUGAAUCUUGCCAGCCUCAGUUUCCUCAUCUGCAAAUGAACUUGGCCCUCUUCCUGGUGUCUUUGUCCACACUGAAACAGAAAAUGCUCCCUGGGUUCUCCAAGCUCUGUGACCCUUGACUUCUAAUCAAAACGCGGUUACCAGAGUUACCCUGGCCCCCGCACAGGCACCCUGACUCUUCGCUUGUGGCCAGCACCACUGGGCACAGCCACUCUGCUUUCUCCUGGCAGCUCAC